UCAUUUUUGUGUUUGUUGCUUUGCUGUUGUUUAUUUACGUGGCCACAGUAGGAUUUGGAGUCUGCACACCAUUACUUCCAUAUGGAUGGAAACACGCUGCUCUUUCUGCUGAGGAGUUGUGUGUCAACUGUGUUGUGUCCCAUAACCAUUCACAAUGCUGGAGAGACCCAGAGAAGGAAGACAGAGACCAGUAAACCCAGCAGCAUGCUGCGUUUCUUGCUCAGGAAUCCUUGGAAGAGAUGACAGCUAUGAACAGUACAAGGAAGCGGAUCAGAAGAACUUGAAAAUAUCUACAAGAGAGAGGAGGAAAAGACACUGAAUUAGGAACCUCUGAUAUGGAAAACAGGUCAGGAUAUGCCUUGGUCUUCUCAUCACAUUUAUUCUGAGUCAUUUUUCUUGAGAACAACCAGAUGGUGUUUCUCUCUUGCUUCCCGUCCUCCAUCUAAGGAGAGCAGCAGUUUGCUAAAGUAAUAAAAAUCUAUAGGUUGGCCAUUAUUUAAAGGAUUGAUGUUUGAAAAAUCAAAUAAAGAGUAAAACUGUGAAAAGCAUUCGGUGCUGUUAUUAAAAAAAUGUAGGGGAGAGGAGAGGAGAGGAGA